GUGAGGAAUUUUCCGCAAUGGGCGAAAGCCUGACGGAGCAAUGCCGCGUGAAGGAUGAAGGCCUAUGGGUUGUAAACUUCUUUUCUCAGAAAAGAAUUAUGACGGUAUCUGAGGAAUAAGCAUCGGCUAACUCUGUGCCAGCAGCCGCGGUAAGACAGAGGAUGCAAGCGUUAUCCGGAAUGAUUGGGCGUAAAGCGUCUGUAGGUUGUUUAAAAAGUAUUCUGUCAAAGAUUAGGGCUUAACCCUAGAUAGGCAGAAUAAACUUUUAAGCUAGAGUUUGGUAGAGGCAGAAGGAAUUCCCGGUGGAGCGGUGAAAUGCGUAGAUAUCGGGAGGAACACCAAAGGCGAAGGCACUCUGCUGGGCCAAUACUAACACUGAGAGACGAAAGCGAGGGGAGCAAAUGGGAUUAGAUACCCCUGUAGUCC
rnacentral:rRNA from 1 species